rnacentral:rRNA from 1 species
GGCGAACGGGUGAGUAACACGUGGGUAAUCUGCCCUGCACUCUGGGAUAAGCCUGGGAAACUGGGUCUAAUACUGGAUAUGACCUUUCUCCUUAUGGGGUUUGGUGGAAAGUUUCUCGGUGUAGGAUGAGCCCGCGGCCUAUCAGCUUGUUGGUGGGGUGAUGGCCUACCAAGGCGACGACGGGUAGCCGGCCUGAGAGGGUGAUCGGCCACAUUGGGACUGAGAUACGGCCCAG